CCUACGGGUGGCAGCAGUGGGGAAUAUUGCACAAUGGGGGAAACCCUGAUGCAGCGACGCCGCGUGAGCGAUGAAGUAUUUCGGUAUGUAAAGCUCUAUCAGCAGGGAAGAAGAUGACGGUACCUGACUAAGAAGCCCCGGCUAACUACGUGCCAGCAGCCGCGGUAAUACGUAGGGGGCAAGCGUUAUCCGGAUUUACUGGGUGUAAAGGGAGCGUAGACGGCGAUGCAAGCCAGAUGUGAAAGCCCGGGGCUCAACCCCGGGACUGCAUUUGGAACUGUGUGGCUGGAGUGAUGGAGAGGCAGGCGGAAUUCCGUGUGUAGCGGUGAAAUGCGUAGAUAUACGGAGGAACACCAGUGGCGAAGGCGGCCUGCUGGACAUUAACUGACGCUGAGGCGCGAAAGCGUGGGGAGCAAACAGGAUUAGAUACCCCAGUAGUC
rnacentral:rRNA from 1 species